UCAUCAAUGAAACCACUUCGAUCUCUAUCUACCAUUUGAAAGCUUCUUAUAACAUCUUGGUUUGUUCCAGGUGGAAAAUUUGAAUACCCAGAUGAAGAAGAAGGAGGAUACCCAGAUGAAGAUGGAGGGUACCCAGAUGAAGAAACUUGUGAGGGAGGGUAAUUAUGAGGGUGGUUGUAGUUUGAAGAAGGAGGUGGAGGUUGGGUGUAGUUGUUGUAAGAUGGAGGUGGGGGUUGGGUGUAGUUAGUAUUUUGGGAGGUGUAGUUAGAAGGUGGUGGUAAUUCAGGUGCAGAUGGAGCGUAUGAUUGAGGAGAAUUGUAUCUGCCGUAGGAAGACAUUGAUUUGAUUGAUGGUGUUGUUGAAAAUUGAAAGAGG
rnacentral:lncRNA from 1 species